UUUUCCUUUUUCUAAUUUUGCUUUAUGUACUUUGUGCAAAUCAGAAUAUAAGGAUUCACCUAACCACCAACAUAUAGAAUGUUGCAAAUGUUUGGAACUAGAAUGAACACAUAUAGAUGUUUCAGCAUUUAUGCUUGCAUUUCGUAUCAACAAAUUGUUAGAAGGCAUAUUUAAUCAUAUUGGUGGGUGAAUCAUUAUUGGUCAAUAUGAUCUGUGAUUUUAUCAGCAUGUUGCAAUGAUAGUUGAUCCUUAUGUUCACAAAUCAUAUUUUGUGUUGAAUGAUGGCAAUUUAGAUAACUAUUUUUUUACUUUUUGAGAUGACAAGAUUUUAGUUUCAUAUUAAUAGAAAAUUACCCAGUUGAAGUUGUGAUUGUUCCUUCCCUUGCUUAUCCUGAUCUUUUUUAUGAGCAGACAGAUUCAGGAGCAAAAUGUUUCAAAUCAAAUAAAUCCAAUGAUAAUAAUGGCAACCUAAGAACGGAGGCUGAAAAGAAUAUAAGGAUUCACCUAACCAUCUUUGCAUCCAUGUGAAAAGAUUUUUAUCCUCUAAUGUAUCUAACCCUACCUUCAGAUAACAAUACAUGUGCACUUUAUGAACUAUGCUGUUUUGACACAUUGCGCACUUCUAUUUAUCAUGCAAUAUUUUUGACAUAUUUUCCCUAUUGUUAUUCACUUUAGUAAGAAUGUGCCUUUCCUCCACUUUCAUUACUUUGCUUGCAUGCUGAUGUUAACUGCAAUCAUGCUUUUCAGGUUUGUUGCAACAGAGCUGGCAACAGACAUUGUUAUCUCCAUUGGGGACGUCAAAUUUUAUCUUCACAAGAUCCAGAGACGCCACGCUCCCCUGCUCCGCUUCCGACAACCGGCGCCCCCACCCUCCCCUGCUCCGCCCUCAACCCCUAGCUAGGGUUGCAGUGCCGCCCCUCAACCCCAGCUAGGGUUGCAGUGCCGCCACCCUCCCCCGGCAGAAGUAUGGCUGAGAAGGCGGUGUGGGAUAAGGAAAAUGUGAAGCACUUCUGUGACAUAUGCAUGCGUGAGGUUAAUGCUGGGCAUAGGCCAUUAGGUCAUUUGAAUAGAGUCGGAUGGAAGAAUGUUGCAGAAAUGUUUGAACAGAAAACUGGUCGGAAACUAGAACAUUUGCAACCCAAGAAUAAAUGGGAUGGUCUCAAACGAAGUUAUACUAUUUUUAUGGAGUUAAAAAAUGCUACCACUGGACUUGGUUGGAAUGAUGAAAAGCAGACUAUAGAUUGUUCAGAUGAGUGGUGGAAUGAGCAUCUUGCAAGAUGCGACGAUCCAAGUAAUGGAAGGAAAUGCAAACAUGUUCAGUUUAGAAAACAUGGUCCGGACAACUUGGAGGCGAUGCGCAUCAUGUUUGGAAGUGCACAUGUUACUGGGGCAUCUGCUUCCAUACCUGGAGAUUUGUCUGAUAAUUGCAGUGAUGAUAAGUGCAUGAGGUUGAGAGAAGCCCCUCAAAUAUCCACAUGUCCACUAUGCUCCAACAGAAAGGCAAGAAGCGUAAAGCCCCUUCUUCUACGUGUGUGGAUGACAAGGAAGAGAAAAGUCCAUUUUUACGUCUGUACAAACAAACCUGCAACAAGAUCGAAGACGGAGUGAACAAGAUUACCACUAGUAUAGAAGCUUCAUCGGUUCCUUAUAUGACCAGCCACAUUCCUACCCUUGCGGAGGCCAUGAGGAUGGUGAAAGAAUGUGGAGUACAGGAGAAAACUGCCCUCAUGCAUACAGCUGCAUUAUUGAUAAUGAAACCUGAAUUUAGGGAGCUCCUCACCUUGUUUGAGACAAAUGAAGGAAGACUUAGAUUUGCUACAAAGGGAGCAUGAUAUGAAGAAGUUGCCUUGAAUCAUUAUGUUCGUUCUUGCUAUUUGAAUCAUUAUUGUUUUUUGGACCAUUAUAUUAUUGUUCUUGUGUAAGCAAACCAUUAUGUUUGAGUCCUGUAUUCAGACCCGUAUUUGGAUGAAUAAUGAUUUGUUUGAGUCCUUAUAUGUUCAGACCCAUAUCUUGAUAAUCUGAAAUGUGGCUUAUGGUAUGUACUUGUUAUGCUCAUGUUUGCAGAGGCCAUGGAAGAAUUGGCAAAGAAGGGUCACAAUGGACUUCAACUUCUAGCCGAGUUGUCCAAGCAGGCUGCCACCAUUGGUCAUUUAGGUGACCGGUACACCGAAAGUUGGCCGAGCUCUGCACAUGACACAUGGAUCCUCAAUCAUGCCUUAACAAAGUUUGGUGACAAAUUUCCGAAACCACCUGCAGGCAAAUACUACCUUGUGGAUUCCGGUUAUCCGAACCGAACCGGAUAUCUUGCUCCUUACAAAGGAAGUACAUAUCAUCUACCCGAAUUUCAUCUUCGCAGAUAGCGAGCACCUCAAGGGAAAUAUGAGAUGUUCAAUUAUUUGCAUUCAUCCCUUCGCAAUGUAAUUUAGCGUGUAUUUGGAGUCCUUAAUCAAAAGUGGCGUAUAUUGAAGUCGAUGCCAAGUUUCUCAACUCGUACGCAGGCGCAUAUCAUUAUGGCUUGCAUGGCAUUGCAUAAUUUCAUUCGUGAUAGCGCGUUACAAGAUGAUGUGUUUAACAAAUGUGAUGAAGAUGAGAACUAUAUGCUGCGAGAUGAGGACGACACCGAGGAACAAGAAGUGGCGCAACCAGAAGUGGAUGAAACUCUUGAGGAGGAGAAUGGGGUUACCAUAAACACUGUUCGUGAUAACAUAGCUAAUGCUUUGGUUAGUUGAAGAUAAUAUUUUAGUUAGGUCGAGGUGGAUCUAUAUAUCUUUUGUAUUAAUUAUAUAUGUCAAACAGUUCUAAUUAUGAUAA